rnacentral:rRNA from 1 species
GAUGAACGCUGGCGGCGUGCCUAAUACAUGCAAGUCGAGCGAACAGACGAGGAGCUUGCUCCUCUGACGUUAGCGGCGGACGGGUGAGUAACACGUGGAUAACCUACCUAUAAGACUGGGAUAACUUCGGGAAACCGGAGCUAAUACCGGAUAAUAUAUUGAACCGCAUGGUUCAAUAGUGAAAGACGGUUUUGCUGUCACUUAUAGAUGGAUCCGCGCCGCAUUAGCUAGUUGGUAAGGUAACGGCUUACCAAGGCAACGAUGCGUAGCCGACCUGUGAGGGUGAUCGGCCACUGUGGAAGUGAGACGCGGCCCAGACUCCGACGGGAGGCAGCAGUAGGGAAUCUUCCGCAAUGGGCGAAAGCCUGACGGAGCAACGCCGCGGGGGUGAUGAAGGUCUGCGGAUCGUAAAACUGUGUUAUUAGGGAAGAACAAAUGUGUAAGUAACGAUGCACGUCUUGACGGGACCUAAUCAGAAAGCCACGGCUAACUACGU